rnacentral:rRNA from 1 species
AUGGCGGUCCUGUUAUGCCCAUACGAUGGCUUCAGCAAGACUGAGGAUGUCAGCAAUGUGUUUAUGCCGAUUUGGCUACAGAUUCACAAGUUACCUGAAGGCUAUUGCAAGAAGGAGGUCGUUGUUAGGCUGCUCAAAGAGUCUGGCGAAAUUCUGGACAUGCGCCUUAAUGGCAAUACCAGAGGUGAUUACGUUCGUGUACGGGUUAGACAUGAUAUUCGUCAGCCCUUAACAAAAUUUGUGAGUAUUGUUCGUGGGAAGGAGAGACAAGUGUACCUGGUUAGGUACGAGAAACUCGCAAGAUUUUGCAAAGUCUGUGGUCUAGUGGGACAUGAAUUCAAGGAAUGUGGCACAGGUAUUCAUGAUGCUAAACGCAUGAAAUAUGGGGACUGGUUGUACGCUGAUGCUCCUAAUAAACAGCGGUCUGAAAAUCUGAAUGCACGGGCUACUGAUACGCCGUCAGGGGCGACUCUCCAUGUUAAGUUGUGCAGGUUAAUGCAGGAGUGGCUAAUGCAAAGGUUGUACCAGCGGUUGCACAUACUGCAUGCAGUCCGGUCAAAUCAGUACAAGAGGACAUGGAGAUUGAUAGAAGUGGCAAGAAACGUUUUAGUACAGAGGAUAUUCUUGUUGAUCCGGCUGCUGGGCCUAGUACAUUUGGUUUGCUUGCUCUAA